GCCUGAGUGGCUCAGUCGGUUAGGUGUCUGACUUCGGCUCAGGUCAUCAUCUCACGGUUUGUGGGUUCAAGCCCCGCAUUGGGCU
rnacentral:tRNA from 1 species